UAACCUCUGCAGGCUGUCUGGUCCCCAGGCUGGGCUGGGUGACUACCUCUUGGAAAGGCUCACCCUCAAGCACGACUAUGAGC
rnacentral:pre_miRNA from 1 species